rnacentral:rRNA from 1 species
AACGUAGGAGGCGAGCGUUAUCCGGAUUUACUGGGUGUAAAGCGCGUGCAGGCGGUGGGAUAAGUUGGGUGUGAAAGCUCCUGGCUCAACUGGGAGAGGUCGCUCAAGACUGUCGCACUGGAGCGUGGUAGGGGAAGGCGGAAUUCCAGGUGUAGUGGUGAAAUGCGUAGAUAUCUGGAGGAACACCAGUGGCGAAAGCGGCCUUCUGGACCACGACUGACGCUCAGACGCGAAAGCUAGGGGAGCAAACGGG